AAGUUUUUCAUUUCGACUUGGUGAUCUAAAAUGGCGGCAGUCCAGUCCUGCUUAUAUAUCGUCCUCGCCAUAUAACACCUUCUCCACUGCCUUCUCCACCUCCUGCUCCACCUCAACAUUCUCCACAGCCUUCCCCUUGACCUGCACGGCCUACUAAACGCUCGUCGUUGCCCACCACGCGUUAAUAUUAAGCCAUUAGACGGAAGAUAUUGUGGGCCAUGGUGCCAAGUUGUGAUUUUCAAGGGUGGUUUAAGCGCCAAGUGUCUACGAGAGUGCCACAAAGGGUAUGGCCGUAGUAUUCAAGGGCCAUGGACCACCGAAGGGCCAUUAGAGGGAAGAUACUGUGUGCCAUGGUGCCAAGUGUACGAGGGUGCCACAGAGAGUUAGGUAGACGCCCCUGCCAUGGCCUUACUCAACUAGGGCCAUGGACCACCGGAGGGCCAUUGGAGGGGAGAAAUAAUGGUCCAUAGUGCUACAUUUUGUGAUUUUCAAGAAGUAGCUGUGAAUGGCCUCAAUGAAGAAUGCGAGAAGUCUGAACAUGAGAUACAGGAGGAGGAGGAGGAGGAGGGCCUGAUACGACAAGAAUGUGGCUUCACCUACAGGGGAUGCAUUUGAGAUUAAGGAGUAGCUGUGAAUGGCCUCAAUGAAGAACAUGAGACACAAGCAAAGAUAGGAGGAGGAGGAAUACAUACAUAGGAAGAAUACAUAGGAAGAACAGACACCAGAAGACCUAUCGGUCUAUGGCGAGGGUGUCUGUUUAAGGAGGAGGAGAGAAGGAGGAGGGCCUGAUACAACAUGAAAGCCUUCCCAAAUGUGUGUGUGUAUUUACCUAGUUGUAUUUACCUAGUUGUAGUUUUACAGGGCCUGGGCAUUAUGCUCGUGUGGUCCCGUCUCCGUGUCUGCAUUUAUCCAACUUAUCUUUAAAGCUUUGCACACUCCUCGCUGAUACUAUAUCCUCGCUCAGACUGUUCCAAACCUCUACAUUUCUUUGCGGGAAGCUAUACUUCUUUGUGUCUCUCAAGCAUCUCCCCUUUCUCAAUUUUUUACUGUGUCCUCUUGUAUUUCUGCUUAUGUUUCCUUCUGUUAGUAGCAGUUCUUCAUUAUCUACUUCAUCUAUUUUGUUUAAUAAUUUAUAAAUUUGGAUUAGGUCUCCCCUUUCUCUUCUUUGUUCCAGUGUUGUUAAGUUCAUUUCCUUUAAUCUUUCCUCGUAUAUUAAUCCCUCCAACUCUGGGACCAUUUUUGAUGCCAUCCUCUGUAUUCUUUCUAGUUUCUUUAUAUGCUUCUUCUUAUGGGGGGACCACACUACCUCUGCAUAUUCUAAUUUUGGUCUAAUCAUGGUAGUGAUUAGCCUUCUCAUCAUGUCCUUGUCCAUGUAGUUAAAUGCUACUCCAAUAUUUUUCACCAAGUUAUAUGUGUCUCUAAAGAUCCGAUUUAUAUGACUCUCUGGUUGAUUACACUGGGUAACAAAAAAAUAUUUUUUGAAAAUCGUCCAGGGUUUUCCAGCUGAAUUAGACUAAUUUUGAUGCUCUGAGUCCGAAAAUGACCUUGGUUUUGCUCAAUCAGGUCAAGAUUUUUUGCUACAGAAUUUUUUUUAUAAUCGAUUUUUCGUAAAAAAACAAAUUUCUGUGGAUCAUCAGCUGAGAAACCCUGACGAUUUUUUCCGUUUUCCUCAAGAAAUAAAAGUCAACGUAUCCAAAUUCAUUCAGUUUUUAUUUACUCCAUCAAAUUUGAUAAGCAUAUAAUACUUCUAAAUAAACGUUACGUGACACAAAAUUUCAGAGUUCACGGCAUAAAUCGGCGUUUCUUCGAUUCCCGUGCGUGAGCAGCUGCUGGGUUGUCUCUCUUCAGCGACCAGCAGUAGUCCGCCAGCAUGACUGCAUCCCACCUCCCCUGGUACCUCUCCUCCAUUUGGCGCAUGUCCUGAUGGAACCUUUCUCCCUGCUCGUCGCUCAUCGCCCCAAGGUUUUCAGGAAACUUCUCCAUGUGUGAGAAUAGGAAGUGCAUCUUUAUACUCAUCAAACACCCGAGUUUUUGAAAAGCCUCUAUCAUGCUGCUGAUGAGUCUGGCGUGGUUUGCUGCCUUCGUGUUCCCCAGGAAGUUGUUCACCACCUCCACAAACGAUUUCCAGGCGGCGCACUCUAGCGUGUUCAUGGAGUUUUGGAACUCUGUGUCGUUGAUGAGCUGCCGUAUCUGUGGGCCAUCGAAAAUGCCGGCCUUCAGCUUCUCAAUGGUCAGUCGAGGAAAGGCUCGGCACAGGUAGUUGAAGCACCUCCCAUCCUUGUCCAAAGCGCGCGUGAACUGUUUCAUUAACCCAAGCUUCAUGUGCAGCGGUGGGAUCAAUAUCUUCU